GGAAGGGUGGGCCUUCUCUGGGGAGGGUGCGAUUGUUAGCAGUUGGCCUAGUAGAAGAAGCAUCUCUCCCAGGGUGCUCGCUGUUCAGCCUGUGAAGUUGGGCAAAGGCCCCGGUGCCCAGGAGGAAUGCAGAACUGGGUGGUGACCCCACCCAUGAGAACAGACUCACUACAAGGAAUCAAGUGGAAUUACACACUGGC
rnacentral:lncRNA from 1 species